AAGGAUCAUUAGUGAAUAUAGGACGUCCAACUUAACUUGGAGUCCGAACUCUCACUUUCUAACCCUGUGCACUUGUUUGGGAUAGUAACUCUCGCAAGAGAGCGAACUCCUAUUCACUUAUAAACACAAAGUCUAUGAAUGUAUUAAAUUUUAUAACAAAAUAAAACUUUCAACAACGGAUCUCUUGGCUCUCGCAUCGAUGAAGAACGCAGCGAAAUGCGAUAAGUAAUGUGAAUUGCAGAAUUCAGUGAAUCAUCGAAUCUUUGAACGCACCUUGCGCUCCAUGGUAUUCCGUGGAGCAUGCCUGUUUGAGUGUCAUGAAUACUUCAACCCUCCUCUUUCUUAAUGAUUGAAGAGGUGUUUGGUUUCUGAGCGCUGCUGGCCUUUACGGUCUAGCUCGUUCGUAAUGCAUUAGCAUCCGCAAUCGAACUUCGGAUUGACUUGGCGUAAUAGACUAUUCGCUGAGGAAUUCUAGUCUUCGGAUUAGAGCCGGGUUGGGUUAAAGGAAGCUUCUAAUCAGAAUGUCUACAUUUUAAGAUUAGAUCUCAAAUCAGGUAGGACUACCCGCUGAACUUAAGCAUAUCAAAAGGCGGAGGAAAGGA
rnacentral:misc_RNA from 1 species